rnacentral:rRNA from 1 species
CCUACGUGAGGCAGCAGUGAGGAAUAUUGGUCAAUGGCCGGAAGGCUGAACCAGCCAAGCCGCGUGAAGGACGAAGGUGCCAAGCAUUGUAAACCUCUUUUGUCAGGGAACAAAGGCGGGGACUAGUCCCCGGCUGAGGGUACCUGAAGAAAAAGCAUCGGCUAACUCCGUGCCAGCAGCCGCGGUAAUACGGAGGAUGCGAGCGUUAUCCGGAUUUAUUGGGUUUAAAGGGUGCGCAGGCGGCCUGUUAAGUCAGCGGUAAAAGCCCGGGGCUCAACCCCGGCGAGCCGUUGAAACUGGCGGGCUGGAGGUGGAGAGAAGUACGCGGAAGGCGCGGUGUAGCGGUGAAAUGCAUAGAUAUCACGCAGAACUCCGAUUGCGAAGGCAGCAUACCGGCGCCCUACUGACGCUGAGGCACGAAAGCGUGGGUAUCGAACAGGAUUAGAUACCCCAGUAGUC